GCGAGGCGCCUGAGGAUAGUCGGGAGGAGGAAGCGUUGUCGAGGUGGAGGAGGCUGGGGGUACCACACCGAGGUUGCCGACAAAAGCGAAGGGGAAAGGUUGUGGUAAUAUCAGUUGAGGUCGUGGAUAAGGAAGAAGUUUGAGUGAAAGUUUCGAUAAGUAAAAAGAAUCCCCUCCUUUUCUGGUGUACGCUCAUUUUGUACUCUUACGGGAUGAGUGACGCCACCUCUAACAGUAACUGACAGUGAAAGCUCGCGCGCUACGAGGAAUUUCCUCCCCCCCCCCCCCGCGUAUCAAUGGUCAAUACGCGUGACGGGUCGCCUCGGCUUUCGCUUUUUCCCCUACAGGAAAUGUCGUCAAGGCACUUCCUGAUGUCACGCUUGGCGGUUCAAUUCCAGAGCUCAGUUAUUUUGGAAGCUUUUCAGACAACCUCCCACAUGACAGCUGUAGCACAAGAAAAAUGUGUGAUCCGCAAAGAACAAGCAAACUACCAAAAGAUUAAGAAUUGCCUUGCUGGAAGGAUAGCAUUUAACUACUACAGAAAGAUUCUGUAAUAAAGAUAAAAGAUUUACGAUGUCAUGUCUUACUCCAAGCAAAGGGCAUGGAUUAGGAAUCUACACUAAUGCCAGGAAAGCGUAACUGAAGAUUUCAUGUAACUGAACGAGCUUCAGCAAAUGGAAUAGAUUCAGCCACCGAUGCUUAGAAAAAACUAAGGCUACAUAUCUGGACUGCAAAAAUCUAGACAACAACAAAUACUUACAGAAAACCUGAAUGGUUUCAGUUAUCCAGAUUUUUGUUACCUUACUGGUUAACUCUAAGCAAGGCCUUAGUACAUCUAGCUUAAUCUUUCUUAGAUGACUAAUAGGAGCUGCUCAAGGAUUUCAGACCGUUUUUUCCACCUCUACCAAGAGCCUCAGUUGAACCCGAGACUGUUUACACUCAUGACAAGAUAACAAAUAUAUUCAGAAAGGGCUUGAACAUCACUUGGCAGAUUUUGCUGAUUUUUUAAAAAGAAAUUACAAAUACUGGAUAAUUUAAUUGUUUUACUAUAAAUUAAUGAUCUCACUGUCCCACAUGUAAUCGCCAAAUCAUACAGAUUUAGAGAUAGUUCAAUAAGGGGAAAGAUGAAUCAUGGUUGUUAGAAGAAAUAAUUCUUUGAAACAUGUAUCUUUUUGUUUUUACUUUGAAUUAAUCUUCAUUUUGAGUUCUGACUACAGAUGUAAUUGUUCAAUAUGUCCUAUGCAAUUUGUAACCAGAUAUUUAUAUCACCUAGUUGAAUAAAAGAACCCUCUAAAGAUAAAAUGGAAGUUGGAGGAUAUACAUUAAAUAUAUCAUACAACAAUACUGCCA